AGAAUUCCCAGAGCCACAACUGAGACGAGUGGGACAAGUCGCACCUCUCGGAGCUACUGUUUCAGGCUGCCCGCAGAUUCAAAUGUGCGACACAGCAUCAGCUGCAUUCGGUUUGCACUUCCUACAUUACCUCCACAGUCACGAGGCCCACACACUUGUUUUUUCAAUGGAAGUGGAUACUCAGGAGUAUAGCGGUAUAGUAAACUCCACAGGUCCAGACUCACGACCUGGCCACCGGAGCCAUCCUGGAAGCUGUUGCUAAGGAGAUUAUCUCAGCUAGGCCAACUUGACCUUUGAUCUUUGCAAAACUCACAAGCAUCUGCUCAAUCUACGUUAGAGGGGAGACUUUCAAGGAAAAGCUGGGUGCUGGAGAAAGCGACGGGACGAUGAAAGGCACUGCUAACUGUGGAACGAAACCUAUCUUUUACAUAAAGAAAAGCCACCAAACCACGUCCUUCAUUGGCAGGGGUUAAAAAGAGCGAUUUUAGACAGCUUCAGCAUUCUUGUGUGGGCUAGUGACUAAUCCCUGAAUGCAAACAGAGCUACAAUGAAGAGUGAACUGUCUAAAGUACUUAUCUCAUCCCCAUUACCAUAGUAUCCAGUGCCUCCCAGUCUUUGAAGACCACCCUUGUCUAACACCAUGCUUGUCAGGUGCUGAGCCACGGACUUAGAUCUGGUCUAUACCACAGAGUUUCACCAGCAUGCAUGUGGCAGGGCACUGUGGGUGCCUGCCACUUUAAGGGCUGAGACAAGCAGCCAGCAGGUGCUUGAUUGCGGCAGCCAUUUUAGAACUCUGGCCACCUAUAUAAACAGAGCAGAUCGUUGCUGGCAGCCAGGCAGAAACAUCACCUGGAUGCCAGGCUGCAUGCAACAUCCUGGAGGGCUACAAAGUGCUUUACAAAGGAGGUCAGUACUGCUAUCUCUAGAAAGGGGGAAACUGAGGACCACAGAAGGGAGAUGGUUUGCCCAACCCGUCCAAACAGAACAAUGGCAGAGCAAGGACGAGACCCCCCAAGAGAUCUGAGCCCCAGUCCAGUUCUCCAUCCACAAGGCCGCUCUGUGGCAAACAGCAAGAGAAAGCAAGUCUGUAGAAAAAUGAUCAUGGAUUUUUACAAUUGUCACAAAUCCCAAGGCACGGGUGUCAAACUCAAGGAACGGGCCCAAUUCCAACCCAGACAACAAUAUUCGGCUGACCUGAGAUUCCUCCGCUGCAUUUUUACUGGAUGCAAUGCUCUUCACCAUUCCCUCUCCCAACACUAUUCAGCAGCUUUUCUGUGCACUGAAAUAUAGUUGCUGCCUUCCAACCCAGAGGUAAAAAUGUAUUAGUUGCAGCCAAGGCCAUUCUUUAUAUCAUCUGUUAACUUUAGGAAUGCUACAGACUUCAAAUCACUAUCAUCAUUAGGGAACUUGCUGAAAAUCAAAAGAAGCAAUGCAAUAUAUUUUCUCUCUGCAAAUCUCGAUUCCAUCAUGAAUUGCAAAACAAUCCAUUGAAAUGGAGGAUUUUAGCAAAGGCAACUGAACCAUUUAAUUGUGGAGGUGCUACAGACUGACAGCUUAGGGCAAUCUGGAAGCUGACGGCUCUCAUGGCUCCCUGCCACCAGGCAUAACAACGUGAUUGGGUAAUGCUUGCUAACACAAAGUUAAGGACCUGGAGAGAGAUGGAUUGUGCAAGUUGAUACUUAUAACAAAUAUUUGACGAGGCUUCACUGUUUCGGAGUGGUGUCCUGCCUGCCUACCACAGACCGACAGCACUUCUCUACCCAGGCGUGAUGAAGCACGUGGUUUUGCAGAGCUGUGACAAGGACUGAGCUUCUCCGCAAACUGCCUCUGAAACAAGACUGGGACUCUUCAUCAUAACCUCAAAUUUGCUUAUCCAGGAGAACGUAGCCAAGCAUUGCCUGUUACCUCUGAUGCUGCAGGAAAGCCUAUAGAAGGGAUGGGCGUUACAGUGCGGCUCGGCCUCUUCCCAAUCCCCUCCGCUCGGGAUCGUUGUGAGCUAAAAGAUCAGACCUGUUGGUUUGACAUGGAUGGUAUCGGCUGGGGCCAGCGAGAAGCAAGAAGUGCUGGCAGUAUGUACUAUCUCCAUUCCACGGCAAGCUGCAAUCUGGUGGUUUCCAGUUUCCGCAUGGCCUUUUCCUUUCCUACCCCGGUUACAUUGCAGUAGGCAGCCUAGAAGUGCCACAAACACGAAACGUCGUGGCUAAGGCGUUGUCUGAGGGGGGAAAGGUGAAUUCCCCCUUGCUAAGCAAGAUGAAAAGCAUCAUUUGUGGUGACUUCUGUUUUUUGGGUGUCCGGGAACAGUGAGGAAUUGAGCAGAAGUCCACCCCCACCUCCCCCCCAAAAACAAACAACCCCCCGCAAAAAACCAAACCAGCGAGCAGGUAACCCUAAGAGAAGGCAAGAUAAUGCUGUAUUACGGCGCCCUCCUGCACAUCACAUCCAUCCUUCCCGUAGGUAACUACAACCAGCUGUUGCUCGUCCAGUGGGGACAAAGUAGUGCAUGUGCUGGACACACGGCGCUAUCUGUUGUCAGCACACUGGUGGCAGUAAGAGGCUAUGUCUUCUCAUGGUCGUUCCCAGCAAUGUUAGUUGAAUAGUCCUGGUGGCUGAAUUCAGGCCUAUGGGUUUUGCAGGCAAAAGAAGGUGCACUAGCCCCCCACAACCCUCUGGGAUGUGCCAGUGAAGAACAAAGGAAACUAAUUGUUGGGCUAGAUGACCUCCUGAGGCCCGCUCCAACCCAAACUUUCUAUAAUCUAAUGCUGUUCCCUGUCUCUCUCUCUCUCCUUCUGUCUCUGUGAACCCGUAACUCUUUGUGAUCAAAGGUUUCGAUCGCAACUCACAGUUCAAGCAGAAUUCAUAAUGACGUUUCGCCUCUGUCUAGGGCCGUGAAGUCCUAGCCAUGUCAUCAGCGCCAGCUCCAGGCUUUGGCCUGGUCCAGUUCAGUUGGCAGGGGUUUGAACACUGGCAUGAAUUGGCGCCACUUCACUGCACUUGCCUUUUGCACAUUGCCAGCUGUAACGGGGCCCCUGCCCCGGUAUUAGAAUGGGAAGAGGAUCCGGGGUGCCUGGCUCUUUUCCCCUUCUUCCUCUCUUACUCGGUUUUGCGGAUGCCUCCUUUCCCUGGUAGAGGUCCCUUCUCCUCGGUUGUGGGCUUCUGAUUUCCCCCGUUCCCACUCACUUCCUGCCACUUCAUUUCUUGCUAUCCCACAUGGGGGGCUAGGUUGUAGGGGGCGAGCGGGGGACACGCCAACUCGAAAUGGCACCGAGUGGACAGAGCGUGUUCUGUAUCCGAAUAAACCUGAGCUUGCCUGGACUGUAAAGCCAGAUGGUUAAAGUGGCCACAGGAGGCCAAACUUGCCUGGACUAUAAAGCAGAAGGUGGCAGAGGAAGAACAGGGCUCCAGGCCCCUACCUGCCAUGCAGCAGACUGUGCGUGCUGGAACCGGAGGUCAUGGGAUGUGGCUGGAGCCGAGCCGGGAGCCUGUGGCCCUGAACAGCAGACCCCGAGCUAGGGGGCUCAGCAAGAGUAAAACUGGGACAAGGCUGAGGGGCAGCCUUGGACCAGGCAGGGCUCGCCUCUUCAAAGCAUGCCUCGCCCUCUGUACAUUAAGCCUCCCCUACUAUAACAUUAAAGGCAUUGCAGGUGACGGGAGAGAUCGGAGGCGCUAGUAGGCCUCUAGAGGCAGGUACCCUGUAGCACAAGACUGGGAAAUUAUUUUGGCUAACGGGCCACUUAAUGACUUUUGGUGAGCUGUCGAGAGCCCCUGCCCUGAUCACCGUCUUGCAACUGGAAAUCCUGCCCCUAACCCCUGACUUUUGCCCCUGGAAACGGUCCUUUUGGGAGGGGGGACUUGCCAUCUUGGAACUGGGAAAAAAACCCAAAUCGUACUAAAAAUCAAACGUCUACUAUAACAACAUAUUUUUAUUUUAUUUAAAAAAUUGUUUUGUCCUGA